GCCACCGAAUACAUUAGCAUGGGAUAAUGGAAUAGGACCCUGUCCUCCUAUUUUCAGUUGGUUUUGGCAGCGCGAGGACUAGGGUAAUGAUUAAUAGGGAUAGUUGGGGGCAUUAAUAUUUAAUUGUCAGAGGUGAAAUUCUUGGAUUUAUGAAAGAUUAACUUCUGCGAAAGCAUCUGCCAAGGAUGUUUUCAUUAAUCAAGAACGAAAGUUAGGGGAUCGAAGACGAUCAGAUACCGUCGUAGUCUUAACCAUAAACGAUGCCGACCAGCGAUUAGGAGACGUUGAAUACAAAACACCACCAUCGGCGCGGUCGCCCUUGGCGUUCGUGUUCACGCACGGGCGCGAGGGCGGCUUAGCCCG
rnacentral:rRNA from 1 species